UGUUACAUCCUCUCCUGAGCACAAAGACAGCAAGAAAUUAGAAAGGAUUUACAGGUCAGAACAGAUAGGCUUUGCAGUUCCUACAGCUGAGUAGCUUGGGAAGCUGAAGAGGAAAAGCUGCAGCUGUGACUGUGAAGCUGAAGUAACUGUCAUUUUGGUCAAUGCCCACAGGAAAGAUAUUCUGAACCCUGUCUAGAGCUCACUGGACCAAGCAGCUGCUCAAUCUGGUGGAGAUGACUUUGUGGAACCCACUAUGGAAUUGGACUGGAAAAGUGCAAAGUGGAGUGGGACCUGGUGGUGUGAUAUUUGGUGGACUGGAGCAGACAGGAACAGCCAGCUACGAUGUGUAUAUAAAGUCUGCUGCAGUUUCCACGGUACACAUCUGAUGAAGUGAGCUGUGGCUCACGAAAGCUCAUGCUCAAAUAAAUUGGUUAGUCUCUAAGGUGCCACAAGUACUCCUUUUCUUUUUGCGAAUACAGACUAACACGGCUGUUCCUCUGAAACCUGAUGUAAGAUGUGUGACUUAAAAGGAUUCCAGCACAAUUGUCAGUGAAGCAUCUACAGCAUCUCUGAGGCAAAGACUUAACAUUCUAAACCUCUUCAAUAAGCCAACCACAAAAAAUGUGCAAAAGUCAUUAAUUGGGCCACAGAAAGUUUGGCUUAUAUCAUGAGGUUGUUUAAAGUGUUUUUGUUUAAAUGCCUUCUUCUUUUGGAGCUUUUUGGGUGCUCUCACUGUGUUGGUAAGCUUUUCUCAUCAACCAAAAGCCUUGUUUAAAUGAAACGUUUUCAGGCAAAUCUCUGGAUUUGAGCAGCUGGGUCUUUAGCUAAGAUACCAACCACCAUGAGUCUGGCAAUGAAACAGUGAAUUGGCAAACCUGUUUUGACUAAUUGUCCCCAAGUUCGUUAGAAAAUGCAAAUGGAGAUGUGACAUUUGAGAGGCUUUGAUCUGACUCACUGGCACAGGUUUGAAAACCAACCCAGGAAAUUUUUUAUGGGCAGGGGUGUGAUUGAAAUCAAUUCAAUUCAAUAUAUUUUUUCCCCUCCAUUAUACAGGGAAAGGCUUUUUAAUUUCUUGGUGCAAGCCAAAAUGGAGCCAGGAUCAGUGGAGGCUGCACAUGAACUCAUUGUCAUUUUAUAAGAGUCCAUGAGUCAGGACCAUGAAGUAGAUGAUUGAGAACCAGUGUGACACCUUCUACCAUGCAAGCAUGGCAGUCCUGAGGAUCUGUCAGGGUGGUAUGGAACUCCUCUGAAUGAUUAUAAAGGGUUUACACUAUUUGGUUCCUUGUGUCUGCUGUUUAAUUCUAAGACACAGUAAUA